CCAGACUGGAGGCGGAGAGCGAGUGAGGGCUGCUAGUACAUUGUCACCUCUCACCCUCAGAAGGCUGAGCUGGUGGGGGCUGAGUUCUGUUACGUGUGACAGCAACGUCUAGGCCAAGCUUGUCCAACUUGCGGCCCACCAGCUGCAUACAACUCUGGACGGCUUUGAAUGCAGCCCAACACAAAUUCGUAAACUUUCUUAAAACAUAGUGCGUUUUUUUUGUUUUUUUUUUUUUGUUUUUUUAAGCUCAUCAGCUAUCAUUAACGUCAGUGUAUUUUACGUGUGGCCAAAGGCAAUUCUUCCAUUGUGGCCCAGGGAAACCAAACUGAAAGAUUGGACGCUCCUGGUCUAGGCUCUCGAUUGCUGAACUCGUUUCCUCUCAGCUGUUGAUUCCCGACAUUUGAGGACUUUUUCUGUCCCCUCUGCUCUUCCUGCCCAAGAGGCAAUAUCUGCCUUUCCCCACAAGGGUGCGUUCAUUCAGGCAACAGGAUCAGCAUCUUUCCAGGCUGACAGGAUGAGCAAGA
rnacentral:lncRNA from 1 species